rnacentral:rRNA from 1 species
AGGGCACCACCAGGAGUGGAGCCUGCGGCUUAAUUUGACUCAACACGGGGAAACUCACCCGGCCCGGACACCGUAAGGAUUGACAGAUUGAUAGCUUUUUCAUGAUUCGGUGGAUGGUGGUGCAUGGCCGCUCUUAGUUCGUGGAGCGAUUUGUCUGGUUUAUUCCGAUAACGAGCGAGACUCUGGCCUACUAAAUAGUUGACGCAUUGCCACUGUGCGCACAACUUCUUAGAGGGAUUUUCGGUGUUCAACCGCACGAAAUUGAGCAAUAACAGGUCUGUGAUGCCCUUAGAUGUCCGGGGCUGCACGCGCGCUACACUGGCAGAAUCAACGUGCCUGUCCUCCCCCGAAAGGGGUUGGUAAACCGAUGAAAAUUUGCCGUGAUUGGGAUCGGACAUUGCAACUAUUGUCCGUGAACGAGGAAUUCCUUGUAGGGGCGAGUCAUCAACUCGUCCCGAAUACGUCCCUGCCCUUUGUACACACCGCCCGUCGCUGCCCGGGACUGAGCCAUUUCAAGAA